GUCUUUAAGAAAUGACCUUCCUUUUCCUGCCCUGCAGUCUGUCAGAGCACAGAUCUACAGCCAGUACAUAGCUUUGCUGGAAGAGAGUGGCCCCUCUGCCAGAGACAACUCUGUGCAGCCAAAGAGCAGCCAUAUUACUUCCUCUCCUUUCAGAGGGUCAGGAGGCUCCUCAUGGAAAUCCAUGGGUCCAGCGCCUU